rnacentral:rRNA from 1 species
UCAAAAACAUGUCUUUUAGAUAAAUAAUUUAAAGUYUGAUYWGCUCCAKGAAUUAUUAAAUAGCUGCAGUAUUUUGACUGUACAAAGGUAGCAUAAUCAAUAGUUUUUUAAUUAAAAGCUGGAAUGAAUGAUUUGAUAAGGUAAAUUUUGUCUCAAAUUUAAUAAUUUUAUAAUUUUUUUUUUAGUAAAAAUACUUAAUUGGAUUUAAAAGACGAGAAGACCCUAUAGAUUUUUAUAUUUUAAUAUUUAAUAGAUAAAAAUUUAAUAAAUCAUUAAAUUUGAAAAUAUUUGGUUGGGGAAAUUAUUAAAUUAAUUUAAUUUUAAUAAUUAAUAAACAAUAAUUAUUGAUUAAUUGAUCUUGAAUUUUUGAUUAAAAGAUUAAAAUACCUUAGGGAUAACAGCGUAAUUUUUUUUGAAAGAACUUAUUGAUAAAAAAGUUUGCGACCUCGAUGUUGAAUUAAGAUUAAAUAUUAAUGUAGAAGUUAAAUUAUUUUGGUCUGUUC